rnacentral:rRNA from 1 species
CCUACGGUGUCUGCAGUGGGGAAUAUUGGACAAUGGGCGAAAGCCUGAUCCAGCCAUGCCGCGUGUGUGAAGAAGGCCUUCGGGUUGUAAAGCACUUUCAGUGGGGAAGAAAGCCUUGGGGCUAAUACCCUCGAGGAAGGACAUCACCCACAGAAGAAGCACCGGCUAACUCCGUGCCAGCAGCCGCGGUAAUACGGAGGGUGCGAGCGUUAAUCGGAAUUACUGGGCGUAAAGCGCGCGUAGGCGGUCUGAUAAGCCGGUUGUGAAAGCCCCGGGCUCAACCUGGGAACGGCAUCCGGAACUGUCAGGCUAGAGUGCAGGAGAGGAAGGUAGAAUUCCCGGUGUAGCGGUGAAAUGCGUAGAGAUCGGGAGGAAUACCAGUGGCGAAGGCGGCCUUCUGGACUGACACUGACGCUGAGGUGCGAAAGCGUGGGUAGCAAACAGGAUUAGAUACCCUAGUAGUC